CAGGAUCGAGGAACGAAGAGUGGGUGUGCACUGUAAAGACCAUAUGGGAAAGUGAGAGUGAGAACACGUACAAUAGAAAUGAGGAACGAAGAAACGGGGUGGAUGUUGCAGUGUAAUUCUCAUUCACAAUAAUCAUUUCUCUGUCUCAUGCCUUCUUCAAUUUCUCUAAUUCUCACUGCAUUAAUUCUUAAUUCUGUGUUUGUGAAUUCAUCUCUUGAUUGCAAGAAUGUUGUCAUUGUUCUCAUUCUCACGAAUCAUGUUAAGGUACUCUCCUUGUUCUGUUCCCCACUCCGCUUUCCGUCUUUGCUUCCCUUCAACUUCAUUCCUACACUCUCAGUCCCAAUCACGUGAUAAAUAUGUUGAUAUCUUCACUCGCUUGCUCUCUAUGCGUCCUCCUCCAUCCAUCAACUCCUUUAACAUGAUUUUGGGGGUUCUUGCCAAGAGGAACGAUUUUCCCACCGCCCUACCCCAUGUUCAGCUGUUGGAAGCCCGGGGAUUUCAGUUUAAUGAAGUCACUUAUGUGACCUUGAUUCAGGGACUCUGUAAGACCAGACACAUAUCAGCUGCUGUUCAAGUGUUGAGAAAGAUCCCAAUGCAUGGGAUUGUUCCUAAUGUCGUCAUGUACAGCGCAAUUAUUGAUAGCCUCUGCAAGGAAGGACUUGUGAAUCUUGCUUUUCGUUUCUUCUCUGAAAUGCUUGCUAAGGGAAUCUCUCCUGAUGUUCAAAGUUACAAUAUCAUGAUUAAUGGCUUCUGCAAAAGUAAAAUGCUCGAUAAAGCCUUGAUUCUCUUUGAAGAAAUGCUUCGUAAGGACUUGGUUCCAAACACGGUAACUUACACCGCUCUUAUUGAUAGCUUGUGCAAAUCAAAGAGAAUCUCUUGUGCUUUGGAGCUUUUCGACAAGAUGCAUGAUAGAGGUCAACCUGCUAACGUAGUCACUUACAAUUCCUUGUUGAAUGGGAUGUUCAAAAACAAACAACUUGAAAAGGCACUUAUGUUAUUCAAUCAAAUGAAAAAGAGUGGCAUUGAUCCAAAUAUAAACACAUACAGAGUACUUAUUGAUGGCCUAUACAAUGCAAAAGAGAUUUUUCAAGAUUUUUGCGUUAUAGGCUGUCCUCCAAAUGUGAGGGCCUACAAUAUUAAGAUCGAUGGGCUCUGCAAAAAGGGCUUAUUUGAAGAAGCAUUGACCCAGCUGUCGGAAAUGGAACACAAUGGUUGCUUACCAAAUGCUGUGACUUUUGUAACUGUUAUUCAUGCUUUGUUUGAAAGAGAUGAGAAUGACAUGGCGGAGAAACUUCUUCGGGAAAUGAUUGCUAGAGGCUUAUUGAAUUUAUAAAAGAAGAGCGGAUACCUUAAUCCCCGUCUCCCUUCCCCAUUUAUUCAGGGAGCAGGUGGCAGAUUCCCGUUAGUCCUCUGUUGCAGAUAACCCCGGCAAGUAUCUACAGGUACAGCAGCCUAUUUAACAAUGGCAUCUAGAAAUAGAAGAUUGACAAGUGGUUCCUAUGGCAGCGGCAGUUCUAAUGUCAUGGGGGAAUGUUUUUGCGAUUGUGAAUGAACCUGAUGUAAAACUAGAGAAUGAAAUACUAUUAGCCUAUUACUGAAAUGGUUAGAUUGUUUUCUUAUUUUUAGUUUUGUAGUUUGUAUGUUUCUCAUCAUAGUCUUGUUUUUUAAACUCUAAUAAUUGCU